GGUUUGACGGAAGGAGCGGCGGCGACGGAGGAGGAGGAGGAGGAGGAGGAGGAGGAUGGAGGCGGUGGUGUUCGUCUUCUCUCUCCUCGAUUGUUGCGCGCUCAUCUUCCUCUCGGUCUACUUCGUAUCCUUGCCUGAGGCAGGCGGACGCCUUGCCGGGGGACACGGCUGAGGGUGGGCCAGUUGGGUACCCGGGCAGUGGGUAAUUCCAGAAUUGAUUGGCCAUACCAUUGUCACUGUAUUACUGCUCAUUUCAUUGCACUGGUUCAUCUUCCUUCUCAACUUACCUGUUGCCACUUGGAAUAUAUAUCGAUACAUUAUGGUGCCGAGUGGUAACAUGGGAGUGUUUGAUCCAACAGAAAUACACAAUCGAGGGCAGCUGAAGUCACACAUGAAAGAAGCCAUGAUCAAGCUUGGUUUCCACUUGCUCUGCUUCUUCAUGUAUCUUUAUAGUAUGAUCUUAGCUUUGAUAAAUGACUGAAGCUGGAGAAGCCGUGGUUGAAGUCAGCCUACACUACAGUGCACAGCUGAGGAGCCAGAGACUUCUUAAAUCAUCCUUAGAACCGUGACCAUAGCAGUAUAUAUUUUCCUCUUUGAACAAAAAACUAUUUUUGCUGUAUUUUUACCAUAUAAAAUAUUUAAAAAACAUGAAUUGAGUUUCUGUAGAUUUCUAGUUUUCAACUUUAGCCUGAACGCCAACAUUUGAAGGUGUUUUUCAUCCUCUGUAUGUUGAAGGUGGUUAUUUGUAUGUAGGAACAGGACUGCCAUCCCAGCUUUGCAUGCCAAAGAAAUAAAGAACACACUUUAAAGGGCAAACUGAAGAGAUGAGCGAGCAAAGGUGCCCUUCAGGUCUACUGAAAAGUUAGAGUACAAAACAACACUGUUGAUCUGGACAAAAGAAGAAAAAUUACCCUUUUUGCCUGUGUUGUGGCAACUUCAUUUAAUAUGGUUUAAAGAUUUAUGAGACUGUCAGCUGAAAGUCUUUUCACAAUAAUGUCAACAGAGAAUGGCAUUUCAAAAUAUAUAUAUUUCUUUGCACAAUUUGUGAAACCUUAUAAGCCAUUUUCCCCAGGUACAAUGUAGUUCCUGCUGAUAGGAAAUAUUUUGUCAAGAGAUUUCAUUUAAAAGCUACUACCUCCACAAUCACCCCAAACCCAGAAAAUCCCCACUGGCUCUUGCCAGUCUGGUUUUCGUAUUGCAAUUAUUCCAAUUGUAUUUGAUCUCCCUGAUAACGUAUUUUAAUGGGUUUGGGUAGAAGAUGCUAAUCAGAUUAGAAGCAGGAAUAGUUAUUCGCUGUCUGUGAAAUUGAGCCUUUUGGUGCGCCACGUGGUGCCAGAUUAACACUUCUAUCCCUCUGCACUGACCACAUUGUGAAUUGGGAGACCAAAUACAAGCCAUUUCAUGGACAUAGCAAUAUGCAACCAAACUCUGUUCCUUGGAGUUAUAUUGUAAACUCUUGCAGUUGGGAGAGCAGUUCACCUCCUCAGCUCUGUUUGCCAGCUCUUACAGGGUAAAAUAAACCUGGCAAUUUAUCCUCA
rnacentral:sRNA from 1 species